rnacentral:rRNA from 1 species
CCUACGGGAGGCAGCAGUGGGGGAUAUUGCACAAUGGGGGUAACCCUGCUGCAGCGACGCAGCGUGUGGGAAGACGGUCCUCUGGAUUGUAAACCACUGUCCCCCGGGGCGAAGAUGACGGUACCUGGGGAGGAAGCUCCGGCUAACUACGUGCCAGCAGCCGCGGUAAUACGUAGGGCGCAAGCGUUGUCCGGAAUUACGGGGUGUAAAGGGAGCGUAGGCGGGAUGGCAAGUUGGGUGUUAAAUCUACCGGCUCAACUGGUAGUCGCACUCAAAACUGCUAUUCUUGAGUGAAGUAGAGGCAGGCGGAAGUCCUAGUGUAGCGGUGAAAUGCGUAGAUAUUAGGAGGAACACCAGUGGCGAAGGCGGCCUGCUGGGCUUUUACUGACGCUGAGGCUCGAAAGUGUGGGGAGCAAACAGGAUUAGAUACCCCAGUAGGC